rnacentral:rRNA from 1 species
UCAGGUAAUGCUGGGACGUCUAAAGGAACUGCCUACGCAAGUAGUGAGGAAGGCGGGGAGUGACGUCAAAUCAGCACGGCCCUUACGUCCAGGGCUACACACGUGCUACAAUGGCCGAUACAGAGGGCAGCUACCUGGUGACAGGAUGCAAAUCUCCAAAGUCGGUCUCAGUUCGGAUCGGAGUCUGCAACCCGACUCCGUGAAGUUGGAUUCGCUAGUAAUCGCGCAUCAGCCAUGGCGCGGUGAAUACGUUCCCGGGCCUU